rnacentral:rRNA from 1 species
AAUACAUAGCUAGCAAGAGGUAGACGCAGUGAACUGAAACAUCUUAGUAGCUGCAGGAAGAGAAAGAAAUAUCGAUUCCCUGAGUAGCGGCGAGCGAAAGGGGAAGAGCCCAAACCAAUAAGCUUGCUUGUUGGGGUUGUAGGACUGAACAUUAGAGUUACCAAAGUGCGACGUAGUCGCAACAGUUGGGAAGCUGUGCCAUAGAGGGUGAAAGCCCCGUAGACGAAACGUCACACU